GGGUUGACUAUUUCAUCUUAAAUCAGCCAUAAAUCCCCUUGUGACAGGAGGAAUGGAAGCUUGUUGUGUGCAACAGAGUAGUAAUUGAAUACAAGCUUCACAUUUGUACUUUUUGUUAAAACAUUUCUAGCCUGUCUAAGGGUGACAGGGUUGAUGUGUUGUGCUUGACCCACUCAAUUUUCCACCACAAAAAAAACCUGAAAAUGACAGAAAAGAGUAGAACCAAUUCAACUGCUUUUACACUGUAUUGACUUAAAUGUUCAAUGUUUCUAUUGAAAAAAAAGAAAAGUUUCAUAUUAAAACGAGAGUUCAGUUCACGUAACAGGGUUGACCUUAAAAUGCAGGACAGAUGUAAAUUAAUCACCAAUCACAUUAAAUACACUGCUCAAAAAAAUUAAGGGAACACUAACAUAACACAUCCUAGAUCUGAAUGAAUGAAAUAUUCUUAUUAAAUACUUUUUUCUUUACAUAGUUGAGUGUGCUGACAACAAAAUCACACAAAUUAUCAAUGGAAAUCAAAUUUAUCAACCCAUGGAGGUCUGGAUUUGGAGUCGCACUCAAAAUUCAAGUGGAAAACCACACUACAGACUGAUCCAACUAUGAUGUAAUGUCCUUAAAACAAGUCAAAAGGCUCAGUAGUGUGUGUAUGUUAAUGUUUUUACACAACAUCCUUUUUAAGGUAAUCCACAAAGUAAUCAAGUUUUUUUUUAAAGUAUCUGUAAUCUGAUUACAACAUUUUUGCCGGUAACGUAACUGAUUACAGUUAAUUUUAAAAAGUCACUCCCCAACCCUGUGUCUCAGUAUCCCUCGAAUGCUGCAUAAAAGGUUUACAUGUGUCAUCUGUUUUCUGAGAACAGAACAAAAACAGAAGUCUCUGCCAAUUGAUUCUUAUUGGUCCUACUGACCUUUGGCAGUCAGAUUUGCCUCUAUUAUAAUAAUAUUAUUUUUUUUCAGUAAAAAGUGGAAAAUUUUACUUUGAUGUGGACAUUGAAAGUUGGGUCCUUCCAUGUGUUGAAAUGGUCAUAAAUCCUGUUGUCCACUGAACUUCAGCUGUCAUUCCCUCUGCCUUGCUAUCUAAAGCAUGUUCAACAAUCCACUUUAAUGCCAACAGUAUAGUAGUAGGAACUACAACAAACCAAGAUGGAUGGUACAAUCAAGCGUGAACUGAAUGGAAAGCUUGAGUUGGGACUCCUUUUGGAGUUGGAGAUUUUGAAAAAAGGCAAAAAACAAAGUUAUUUAAAGCAGUUGCUUGUGUUUUAACUGUGAAUAAUAAAAUAAAAUCAUCUUCAAUGUUUUGCACUACAGAUCCUCUUAAUGUUUUUCUUUUUCAUUAAAUGUUCUAUAAUCAUAAAA
ensembl:lncRNA